rnacentral:rRNA from 1 species
CCUACGGGAGGCAGCAGUAGGGAAUCUUGCGCAAUGGGCGGAAGCCUGACGCAGCCAUGCCGCGUGAAUGAUGAAGGUCUUAGGAUUGUAAAAUUCUUUCACCGGGGACGAUAAUGACGGUACCCGGAGAAGAAGCCCCGGCUAACUUCGUGCCAGCAGCCGCGGUAAUACGAAGGGGGCUAGCGUUGCUCGGAAUUACUGGGCGUAAAGGGAGCGUAGGCGGAUAGUUUAGUCAGAGGUGAAAGCCCAGGGCUCAACCUUGGAACUGCCUUUGAUACUGGCUAUCUUGAGUACGGGAGAGGUGAGUGGAACUCCGAGUGUAGAGGUGAAAUUCGUAGAUAUUCGGAAGAACACCAGUGGCGAAGGCGACUCACUGGCCCGUUACUGACGCUGAGGCUCGAAAGCGUGGGGAGCAAACAGGAUUAGAUACCCUGGUAGUCCACGCUGUAAACGAUGAGUGCUAGUUGUCGGCAUGCAUGCAUGUCGGUGACGCAGCUACGCAUAAGACACUCCGCCGUCGGGGAGGUACGGUCGCGAAGAAUUAAACUACGAAAGGAAGUUAGACGGCGUGAGACGUGCCGAACGGACGACGACGAGGGAGGUAGG